CACUCCUCUCGUCUCUGCUCUUUACUUUCCCUAGUACACUGAGAAAAACAGCUCAAAUAGCUUCUUUGAUCAUGAUUUUGAGCGAUUUGAAGGCCGAUUCAGAAGAAGUAUUAGUUGAAGAAAAGAUAGAUCAAGGCAUGAUUUCAUCACUUUGUGGAGUCAUUUGGAGCUUAUGGAGUAGGAUUUGCCGUGCGAAGUGAACUACGAAGUUGGAGAUCAAGGUAAAAAAUAUCAUCUGAGUAGCAAACAAUGAGGAGAUGGUGUGAUUGAAGAAAUUGUGUUUCGAUCUUUGAUGUCCCUUUUGAGGUUGACUCCAUUGAUAUAUUACUGGUGAUAUGUUCAUGCUGACGGAUUUUUUUUGAACUAUUGUGGCGCUUAAUUUUAUUCGGAACAACAUCCAAAUUGAAGCUGAGAUUAAUGAUGGCGGCGUUGUUGCACCCAUCUAUUUUGACAAUAUAGUGAUAAUACGUUCCAUAAGUAUAAGGGAGUCCAUGAUCACCAAAUUGGGAGGUAAAGUCACUUUUAUCCGAGACAAAAUUUCGCAUUAUUCAUUAGGAAUUAACAAUCUAAAAUAAAUGGCAUCACUUGUCCAAUAGUCAACAUCCAUCAAUUCACCAUCAUAAAAUUAGACGUACAAAGGAACAAGAUACAACAUCAUUCAUCGACAUCACAUACUGAUAUGUGGACUUUACAACCAGUACCAAUAUUUCCAUGGCAUGUGCUUCUACCUUGUAACGCUGUCCUCCUAAUCUGGACCUUUGGUUCCUUCCAUUACUUGUGCUUGUCAAAGAAAUGUGCCUUUUCCAACCUGGAUCUUUCGAUCAAAUGAUUUUUUUGUCGAAAAGGACAGGUGCCCAACACAAUUGUCAAAAAGGACUACCUGUAGAUGAAAUUGACAAAAGAGACCCUCGGUCGUGGCGGCAAGCGUGGCAGACGACACGUGACACCUGCCGCUAAGGAUGGCAAUGGAUCGGGUUCGGCUCGGGUUGAAAACAUUAUGUGCCCAUCCACAAAAAAAAAUCCAUGGGCGAAAAAUUAUGUCCAUGUCCAAACCCGACGAAUAUCCAUCGGGUAUGGAUAACCAUCGGGUUGUCGCAACACAUAUACAUAAGAAGUAGCACAACAUUCACAUAAGCUCUCAAAUUCUCACAAAAUGACAAAGCACAAGUGCAUAACAUCAAAUAAGCUCUUAAAUUCUCACAAAAUGACAUAGGACAAGUGAACAUCACCAACAAAGCUCUCCGAUUCUCAUAAUGACAUAACAUCAAAUAAACCUAAGUACACAAUUCUCUGUCCUCGUAGAAUGACAUAGCAAUAACACAACAUCAUUUCUCGAUCUCGAUUUCUCAUAAAAUGGCAUAACACAAUGUCAAGCAAGCACAUGUACCACCAUAUGUAGAGAGGUAAAGUCUAGCGGCAUCUAGGGCUGCGGGAGGAGGAAGUCGAGGUGAUGGAGAUGACGCUUAAUUGCGAGUCAUUUACCGAGGAUAUAGAAGAAUGAGAAGAGGCAGAGAAGUUACGAUGAGAACUGGGGAGGGAUCGCAUAGUUUCUUUUUUACUUUUUAUAAAGGAAAAAUACAUUGAAAGAUGGGAUAGUGGGGA